rnacentral:rRNA from 1 species
GAUGAACGCUGGCGGCGUGCUUAAUACAUGCAAGUCGAACGAAGCACCUUGGACAGAAUCCUUCGGGAGGAAGACCAUUGUGACUGAGUGGCGGACGGGUGAGUAACGCGUGGGUAACCUGCCUUGUACAGGGGGAUAACAGUUGGAAACGACUGCUAAUACCGCAUAAGCGCACAGUACCGCAUGGUACGGUGUGAAAAACUCCGGUGGUACAAGAUGGACCCGCGUCUGAUUAGCUAGUUGGUGAGGUAACGGCCCACCAAGGCGACGAUCAGUAGCCGACUUGAGAGAGCGAUCGGCCACAUUGGGACUGAGACACGGCCCAAACUCCUACGGGAGGCAGCAGUAGGGAAUAUUGCACAAUGGGGGAAACCCUGAUGCAGCGACGCCGCGUGAAGGAAGAAGUAUUUCGGUAUGUAAACUUCUAU